rnacentral:tRNA from 1 species
GCUCCCGUAACGGAACUGGAAUACGUGCUAGGUCGAGAGCCUAGAUUAUGCAGGUUCAAAUCCUGUCGGGAGUACCA